GGGACAGUAGCUUAAAUGACAGAGCGUCUGGCUCAAUCACCAGACAUUGUGCCGGUUCGAAUCCGGCCUGCCCCUCCA
rnacentral:tRNA from 1 species